UAUAUUUUUUUUGUUUUUUUUUUUUAGUGUAAUUAUAUCAGUUUGCAGUGCGUGUGCACGUGUUUGGUUCGGGAUCGGUUGCGCAAACUGCCCGCGGUGAAUCGUCGAAAUUGUCGAGUGUCGCUCGAAGCCAUCGAACAAAUACAACAUACAUGUUAUGGGGUAUAAACGUAAUGCAUAGUAUUUACCUACCGCAUUAUUAUUGUUAUUGUUAUCAUUUUUUUUUUU